rnacentral:lncRNA from 1 species
CUCUUGCCUGCUGCCAUGUAAGAUAUGACUGUGGUCCUCCUUCACCUUCUGCCAUGAUUGUGAGGCCUCCACAGCCAUGUGGAACUAGAAGCUGUUUUUCCCUCUUUGGGGUCUCAGAGAGAUUGGUGGCAAGGACUCCUGGGAAGAGAAAAGCUGAAAGACACUCUGGCAAGAGAUGGAGACAGAAACUUGAGUGGGCUCAGGAAUAUGUGUUUUUAAAAUUCUCCAGAAGAUUUUAAUGCAGUACAAGUAAGAAGACAGGACUGCAAUUCACAAGAACAGUAUAGCCUGGGGAUUCCUCAGAACAGAACAGACUCAAAAAAAAAGAAAAAAAAGAAGACAAAAAC